rnacentral:rRNA from 1 species
UACGUAGGGUCCGAGCGUUGUCCGGAAUUACUGGGCGUAAAGAGCUCGUAGGUGGUUUGUCGCGUUGUUCGUGAAAACUCACAGCUCAACUGUGGGCGUGCGGGCGAUACGGGCAGACUGGAGUACUGCAGGGGAGACUGGAAUUCCUGGUGUAGCGGUGGAAUGCGCAGAUAUCAGGAGGAACACCGGUGGCGAAGGCGGAUCUCUGGGCCUUACCUGACGCUGAGGCGCGAAAGCUAGGGGAGCGAACAGG